rnacentral:rRNA from 1 species
GAUGAACGCUAGCGAUAGGCCUAACACAUGCAAGUCGAGGGGCAUCACAUGAAGUAGCAAUACGGAUGGUGGCGACCGGCGCACGGGUGAGUAACACGUAUGCAACCUGCCUUCAACAAGGGGAUAACCCGUUGAAAGACGGACUAAUACCCUAUAACACAGGGGUCCCGCAUGGGAAUAUUUGUUAAAGGACAACCGGUUGAAGAUGGGCAUGCGUUCCAUUAGCUGGUUGGUGGGGUAACGGCCCACCAAGGCAACGAUGGAUAGGGGAACUGAGAGGUUUAUCCCCCACACUGGUACUGAGACACGGACCAGACUCCUACGGGAGGCAGCAGUGAGGAAUAUUGGUCAAUGGACGCAAGUCUGAACCAGCCACGUCGCGUGAAGGAAGACGGCCCUACGGGUUGUAAACUUCUUUUAUACGGGAAUAAAGUGCCCCACGCGUGGGGUUUUGCAUGUACCGUAUGAAUAAGGAUCGGCUAACUCCGUGCCAGCAGCC